CACCCCAGGUCAUGAGGUGGAGAAGGCGAGGCUGUGUGGGUGGGGGUGAGGGGGUGAGAGAAACGUGAGUGGUCCCCAUGUCCAGUGCCGUAGAUCAGUCAGUCAUUCGACAAACAUCUGCUCAGCGCUCACCACGAGGCCAGACCCUGUGCUCGGGCUGGGUCCUUGGGUGGAGGUGUGGUCCCAGCUGGACGGGCGUGGAUGGGAUCCCAGCUCUGCCUCUCACCAGCUGUGUGGCCCGGUCCGUCACUCCCUUCUCUGUGUCUCAGUCUUCUCAUCUGUGAAGUGGGCAUGGCCACCCCCUCCCGCUGAGUCACGGAGGUGGCUCAUUGAGGUCAUACAGGCAGAGUCUGGCCUCAAGGAAGAGGAGCUCCGUAAGUGAUGCUGCGACCACUGCUGUCAUCGCUGGCUUAGGCCCCUGGGAGCCCCAGCGCAGAGGGCAGGUAGGACACGCCCACAGGAGCUGCUGUUUGAGACGGAGAGUCACGGGCAGCCCGGGAGUGGGAGAACAGUGACCGGAGGGUGAGGACGUGUCCAGCCAGGGGGCCUGGACAGCUUCUGGGCAUGGCUGGUUCCUGAGCUGGGUUUCGAAGGAGGGAGGUUUUCAUCAGAUAGAAGCAGGGCUGAGAGCACUGCAGGCAGAAGGACCGGCAUGAGCAGGGCCCGGAGGUGGGAGGUAGUCGGCACGUCGCAGGAACAGCCCGUUCAGCGGGCAGGUCAGAACACGCCGGGCAAUUGUGGGAAAGCUGGUCCUGGAGGCCUCGAAGGCUGAGCUCAAGCAUCCGAAGUCACCUGCUUGAGACAGUGGGUUGCCUGGGACCUGGGCGCCCAGCCCCACUCCUCCCACCCCCUGGCCACGGAAAACUUGAGUCUCCAUUCGGAACUGUUGGCGCCUGGAGCCAGGGAGCCACACGCAGGCGGAUCCGCUGAGGAUGCGAGAGGGGGCCUCCAUUCCUCAGAGCCCCGCGAAGGCGUCCCCCAGCCCCAGCCUCUCCCAGGGCUCCAGGCCGCGGGCACAGUGGGGCGAGCCCGGAGUCCAGAGCCCUGCAGACCUGGCUCCAGUCCAGCCUCAGGGCCUACAGAGGCUCAGCCUCGCCUCCCCAUCUGCGGAGGGGCGGGGGGCAAGGGUGCUCCGAGAGCCGGCCGGCUGGGACCGGGAAAGGGAGCCAGCUGCAGGGGAGGCGAAGGCCCCGCUCCCUGCUGGCAAGUGUGCACGCUGUGUGCUAUUCCUAGUCCUCGCUCUCCCCUCAAGCUGGGGCUUUUUGGUGCGAAUGAUCCCACAGGACACCGCCCUGGACGGUGGCUGCCCCAUUUGGAGACGCCAGGCCCAAGCUAACCAUGGAAAAAACCGCCCCCAGCCUUCCUGCCAUGUGCUUCUGCAGCCAAAAAUAUUUUUAUAGUAAUAUCCAUCUAUUUACAACCU
rnacentral:lncRNA from 1 species